UAUCAAUCUAUUUAUUUAUCCAAAUAGAAGUUGAGCUGUGGUUGCAUUUGGAUAUGUAUGAAGAAUGAAUUUGAAAUGAAUGGAUUUGGAGUUAAUAUGCUAGUCUAACUUAAAUGAUGUGUAAGGCCAUGAAUUAUCUUAAUUUAUAGAUGUUGACCUAAAAACUCAAAUUCAUAUCCUUGGACUGCAAGUUCUCAGUCCAAGCUCUUCCUAAUGAAAUUUGAAGUCUAUUAAUACAUGGGAGUUGAAGAGAAAAUAGUGUGUAAGCUAAGCAGAAGUUGAAGUUGUUUAGAAUUGAAUUUUGAAGAAUGGUAAAUAAUCUUUUACACUUGUCUGAAAAGUGCAUGGAACGAAAUUUUUUUAACUAAAAAUGUGGAUAUUUAUAGAAUCACCUUUGUGAUACAGCAUUGAAAUGCAAGUGAGAAGACGGCUGUUGGCUUGAUAUAUUAUUUAUUAUGAACUGUGAAUUUCAGUAUUCUUGCAAAUGCUCAUUCUUUCAUGAAAAUGCUGGAGUCUCUGUGGCACGAUCUGUUAUAUAUCUAGUGAUAUUCUGUUAUAUCUUCUGUUGCUCUGUUACAGGACACAUGCGUUUGUAUUAGUAUAUGCAUAUGUAUGUAUACAUAUAAAGUAGGUUAGCAUUGACAUCAAUGCAUAAAAUAUCAAAAUAACAUACCAUUUAUUGAUGCAUAUUUGGCUUCUUCACGUGAACCUCUGAAUUCAGCAGUAUUAAUCACUAAAAUAUCCCAACUUGUUUUUUGCAAUGGGAAGAUUUGGGAAUGCAAAACUUCUCAUAUUAUCUUGCUUGCUGAUGUAUCUUUUCUCUAGAAUUUUUUGGAUUGGUACACAAAUCCAAACCUCGCUAAAUUGUCAUCUAUAGAUGUACUGAGUGAUUGACCCUAAAUCUGUCAGUUUUUGAAAUAAUGGAAUUGGAAAUUGUGUAACAAAUGUCUGAAACUGGCCGAAACAGCAGCCAAUUUUGUGAUUUUUUAUACCAUUAGCAAAAUGAGUAAAAUCAACAGUAAGCAAGUAUUGAAUUACAUGUCAUUAUAAUCUUGCAUAUCUUAUGAUUGUAAUAAAAAGAAAAGAAAUAAAUUGUUAUAAACAGCAAUUUAAAAGAAUUUUACAUUCUUAUAUGAAUGGCUUAUAAUACUAAAUCAUUAAAAAAUUGUUAUAUAAUAAAUCAUUAAAAAAUUGAUAUAUAAUUAA
rnacentral:misc_RNA from 1 species